rnacentral:pre_miRNA from 9 species
UUUUGUGGCUAGCACUCGACAUGUGACCUGUGUUCGGUAAUCACAUCACAGUCAGAGUUCUAGCUACACGG